GGCUGUGGCUCAGUGGUAAGCGCUCGCCUCGCACGAAGGAGGCACUGGGUUCAAUCCUCAGCACCA
rnacentral:tRNA from 1 species